UGGGGCAUAGCUCAGUGGUAGAGUUUGUGCUUGGCAUGCACGAGGGUUCAAUCCCCAGUGCCUCCA
rnacentral:tRNA from 1 species